rnacentral:tRNA from 1 species
UCCCUGGUGGUUCAGAGGCUAAGACUCUGUACUCUUAUUUCAGAGAACCUGGAUUCAAUCCCUGGUCAGGGAA